rnacentral:rRNA from 1 species
UACGUAGGGGGCGAGCGUUGUCCGGAUUUAUUGGGCGUAAAGAGCUCGUAGGCGGCUGUUCGAGUCGGGUGUGAAAUCCUGAGGCUUAACCUUGGGUCUGCAUUCGAUACUGGGCGGCUUGAGUCUGGUAGGGGGAUCUGGAAUUCCUGGUGUAGCGGUGGAAUGCGCAGAUAUCAGGAGGAACACCGGUGGCGAAGGCGGGAUCCUGGGCCAGUACUGACGCUGAGGCGCGAAAGCUAGGGGAGCAAACGGG